rnacentral:rRNA from 1 species
UACGUAGGGUGCAGGCGUUAAUCGGAAUUACUGGGCGUAAAGGGUGCGUAGGUGGGUUGGUAAGUCAGUGGUGAAAUCCCCGAGCUUAACUUGGGAACUGCCAUUGAUACUAUCAGUCUUGAAUAUUGUGGAGGUUAGCGGAAUAUGUCAUGUAGCGGUGAAAUGCUUAGAUAUGACAUAGAACACCAAUUGCGAAGGCAGCUGGCUACGCAUAUAUUGACACUGAGGCACGAAAGCGUGGGGAUCAAACAGG